rnacentral:other from 1 species
UGUUUCCUGCCGUGUUAGUCAGCUUCUCCUUGUUUCGAACCUUGAUUUUUAAAAGGGAGUUCUAUAUUGAGGACUUUGCCAGCAUGCCAGCUUUGUUCUGGACGCUGAACAAGUCCCUGCGAGCACCCACCUACGAGUGUAGGUUCAUGAAACAACUGAAGCAACGGCAUACGCGGGUUUUCA